UGGCUUGGAAAAUCCUUUGUGAAAUCUUGGGGCCUAACCUCAAGGCGGGCAGGGGACACUUCCAGGCUCGGAACCGGGAGGAGCUAGGGGUAUGCCAAGGGGAGCGGUAAAAUGCUGUAAUCCUUGGUGGACCACCUGUGGCGAAGGCGCCUAGCUAGAACGGAUUCGACAGUGAGGGACGAAAGCUAGGGGAGCGAUCCGGAUUAGAUACCCGAGUAGUCCUAGCCGUAAACGCUGCGAGCAAGGCGUUGCAUGUUCCAUGAGAAUAUGCAGUGUCGAAACGAAGGUGUUAAGCUCGCCGCCUGGGAA
rnacentral:rRNA from 1 species